ACUAAUCCAGGUUCAACAGU
rnacentral:siRNA from 1 species